rnacentral:rRNA from 1 species
GAUGAACGCUGGCGGCGUGCCUAAUACAUGCAAGUCGAGCGAACAGACGAGGAGCUUGCUCCUCUGACGUUAGCGGCGGACGGGUGAGUAACACGUGGAUAACCUACCUAUAAGACUGGGAUAACUUCGGGAAACCGGAGCUAAUACCGGAUAAUAUAUUGAACCGCAUGGUUCAAUAGUGAAAGACGGUUUUGCUGUCACUUAUAGAUGGAUCCGCGCCGCAUUAGCUAGUUGGUAAGGUAACGGCUUACCAAGGCAACGAUGCGUAGCCGACCUGAGAGGGUGAUCGGCCACACUGGAACUGAGACACGGUCCAGACUCCUACGGGAGGCAGCAGUAGGGAAUCUUCCGCAAUGGGCGAAAGCCUGACGGAGCAACGCCGCGUGAGUGAUGAAGGUCUUCGGAUCGUAAAACUCUGUUAUUAGUGAAGAACAAAUGUGUAAGUAACUAUGCACGUCUUGACGGUACCUAAUCAGAAAGCCACGGCUAGCUACGUG